ensembl:snoRNA
AAGGCUAUACUUUAAGGGAUCAUUUCUAUAGUAUGUUACUAGCGAAGCUUCUCUGAUCGUGUAGAGCACCAGAAACCACGGGAGGAGGCGUAGUGUUCCUUCCUGAGCGUGAAGCCGGCUCUGGGUGUUGCUUGAGUGCAACUGCCACUUGCCAUUGAUGAUCGUUCUUGCUGUCCCCUUGGAGGCAGCAGGGGAAGGGAACACAGUCUGAGUGGCA